CCGCUCACCGAAGAAGACGUGGUCACACACAUCCUCAACGGGUUAGAUACAGAUUAUGGUGCUCUUAUCACAUCUGUGACUACUCGUUCCAGUCUGAUGCCGCUAGAUGAGCUCUAUGCACAUCUUCUCAGUCAUGAGA